GAUGAAGAACGCAGCGAAAUGCGAUACGUAAUGUGAAUUGCAGAAUUCAGUGAAUCAUCGAAUCUUUGAACGCACAUUGCGCUCUCUGGUAUUCCGGAGAGCAUGCUUGUUUGAGUAUCAGUAAACACCUCAACUCCUUUAUUGUAGUUGGACUUGAGCUAUCCCAACAGGACUUUUUGUUCCUGGCGGGAGGCUUGAAAUGCAGGUGCAGCUGGACUUUCUUCUGAGCUAUAAGCAUAUUUAUUUAAUCCCUUAACACGGAUUAUUACUUUUUUGCUGCAGCUAACAUAAAGGUUGAAUUUCCAUUGAGCUGACUGAUGCAGGAAUUUGGCAAGGAAUUUUUUUAACGACUUGUUAAACUCGAUCUCAAAUCAAGUAAGACUACCCGCUGAACUUAAGCAUAUCAAUAAGCGGAGGA
rnacentral:misc_RNA from 1 species